rnacentral:lncRNA from 1 species
GACUAGCCUGCAGGCUGGCUGGGACACAGGUUACACUGAGACAGAGCUUUGGAAAGAGCUGUGUAUCAAAAUAAUGGCCUAAGAUGUCAAUGAGGGACUCAUGUCCUUUCAGUCGGGGCUGGCCUAGAGCAACUCCCGCUUGUACAGAUGGAGAAGUUCAGAGGGAGAACCUUUGUACAAAGUAAACCACAAAAGAAAAAA